GACGAACGCUGGCGGCGUGCCUAAUACAUGCAAGUCGAACGAGGUCUUCGGACCUAGUGGCGAACGGGUGAGUAACACGUUGGUACCUACCCCGCAGUGGGGAAUAACUGCCCGAAAGGGUGGCUAAUACCGCAUCAUAACGCAAGGUUAAAGCGGUAAUGCGCUUCGGGUGGGGCCUGCGUCCCAUUAGCUAGUUGGUAGGGUAAUGGCCUACCAAGGCGACGAUGGGUAGCUGGAUCGAGAGGUUGACCAGCCACACUGGGACUGAGAUACGGCCCAUACUCCUACGGGAGGCAGCAGUAAGGAAUCUUCCACAAUGGACGAAAGUCUGAUGGAGCAACGCCGCGUGCAGGAUGACGGCCUUCGGGUUGUAAACUGCUUUUAUACGGGAAGAUUGUGACGGUACCGUAUGAAUAAGGACCGGCUAACUACGUGCCAGCCGCCGCCGUAA
rnacentral:rRNA from 1 species